UACGGAGGGUGCAAGCGUUAUCCGGAUUCACUGGGUUUAAAGGGUGCGUAGGUGGGUUGGUAAGUCAGUGGUGAAAUCUCCGUGCUUAACAUGGAAACUGCCAUUGAUACUACUGAUCUUGAAUUUUCUGGAGGUAAGCGGAAUAUGUCAUGUAGCGGUGAAAUGCUUAGAUAUGACAUAGAACACCAAUUGCGAAGGCAGCUUACUACACAAUGAUUGACGCUGAGGCACGAAAGCGUGGGGAUCAAACAGG
rnacentral:rRNA from 1 species